rnacentral:rRNA from 1 species
GAUGAACGCUGGCGGCGUGCCUAAUACAUGCAAGUCGAGCGAACGGACGAGAAGCUUGCUUCUCUGAUGUUAGCGGCGGACGGGUGAGUAACACGUGGAUAACCUACCUAUAAGACUGGGAUAACUUCGGGAAACCGGAGCUAAUACUGGAUAAUAUUUUGAACCGCAUGGUUCAAAAGUGAAAGACGGUCUUGCUGUCACUUAUAGAUGGAUCCGCGCUGCAUUAGCUAGUUGGUAAGGUAACGGCUUACCAAGGCAACGAUGCAUAGCCGACCUGAGAGGGUGAUCGGCCACACUGGAACUGAGACACGGUCCAGACUCCUACGGGAGGCAGCAGUAGGGAAUCCUCCGCAAUGGGCGAAAGCCUGACGGAGCAACGCCGCGUGAGUGAUGAAGGUCUUCGGAUCGUAAAACUCUGUUAUUAGGGAAGAACAUAUGUGUAAGUAACUGUGCACAUCUUGACGGUACCUAAUCAGAAAGCCACGGCUAACUACGUG